AUGCCUUAGUACGGCGAGUGAAGCGGCAAAAGCUCAAAUUUGAAAUCUGGUACCUUCGGUGCCCGAGUUGUAAUUUGGAGAGGGCAACUUUGGGGCCGUUCCUUGUCUAUGUUCCUUGGAACAGGACGUCAUAGAGGGUGAGAAUCCCGUGUGGCGAGGAGUGCGGUUCUUUGUAAAGUGCCUUCGAAGAGUCGAGUUGUUUGGGAAUGCAGCUCUAAGUGGGUGGUAAAUUCCAUCUAAAGCUAAAUAUUGGCGAGAGACCGAUAGCGAACAAGUACAGUGAUGGAAAGAUGAAAAGAACUUUGAAAAGAGAGUGAAAAAGUACGUGAAAUUGUUGAAAGGGAAGGGCAUUUGAUCAGACAUGGUGUUUUGUGCCCUCUGCUCCUUGUGGGUAGGGGAAUCUCGCAUUUCACUGGGCCAGCAUCAGUUUUGGUGGCAGGAUAAAUCCAUAGGAAUGUAGCUUGCCUCGGUAAGUAUUAUAGCCUGUGGGAAUACUGCCAGCUGGGACUGAGGACUGCGACGUAAGUCAAGGAUGCUGGCAUAAUGGUUAUAUGCCGCCCGUCUUGA
rnacentral:rRNA from 1 species